GACGAAGGGGGCUAGCGUUGUUCGGAAUUACUGGGCGUAAAGCGCGUGUAGGCGGUUGUCCAAGUCGGGUGUGAAAGCCUUGAGCUCAACUCAAGAAAUGCACUCGAUACUGGGCGACUAGAGUGCCGGAGAGGAUAGUGGAUUCCCAGUGUAGUGGUGAAAUACGUAGAGAUUGGGGAAGAACACCAGUGGCGAAAGGCGGCU
rnacentral:rRNA from 1 species